GACGAACGCUGGCGGCGUGCUUAACACAUGCGAGUCGAACGAUGACGACCGAGCUUGCUCGGUCUGAUUAGUGGCGAACGGGUGAGUAACACGUGAGCAACCUGCCCUUCACUCUGGGAUAACCUCGGGAAAUCGGGGCUAAUACCGGAUAUGAGCUCCUGUCGCAUGGCGGGUGUUGGAAAGUUUUUCGGUGAAGGAUGGGCUCGCGGCCUAUCAGUUUGUUGGUGAGGUAGUGGCUCACCAAGGCGAUGACGGGUAGCCGGCCUGAGAGGGCGACCGGCCACACUGGGACUGAGACACGGCCCAGACUCCUACGGGAGGCAGCAGUGGGGAAUAUUGCACAAUGGGCGAAAGCCUGAUGCAGCGACGCCGCGUGAGGGAUGACGGCCUUCGGGUUGUAAACCUCUUUCAGCAGGGAAGAAGCGAAAGUGACGGUACCUGCAGAAGAAGCGCCGGCUAACUACGUG
rnacentral:rRNA from 1 species